UACGGGGGAGCAAGCGUUGUUCGGAUUUACUGGGCGUAAAGGGCGCGUAGGCGGUCAGCACAAGUCAGUUGUGAAAUCUCCGGGCUUAACUCGGAAAGGUCAACUGAUACUGUGCGACUAGAGUGCGGAAGGGGCAACUGGAAUUCUCGGUGUAGCGGAUGAAUGCGUAGAUAUCGAGAGGAACACCUGCGGCGAAGGCGGGUGCGUGG
rnacentral:rRNA from 1 species